GGUGAUUAAUGUUUCCUCUCCUUAUAUACAAAUUCCUUGGUUCUGAUUAGUUCUUAUUGAUUACUUGUUAUCUAUUUUUUUUCUUUGCUGUUAUUGGAGCUUGUAAAGGAACUUAAUCAAAUAUUCACCUUCUGUCAUUACUAAAAUGAAGAUUAUAAAUACACUAAAGCAAGGAUAAUCUUAUAUUCUAGUACCAAUUGUAAGACAAAAAAAG